rnacentral:rRNA from 1 species
UACGUAGGGGGCUAGCGUUGUCCGGAAUCAUUGGACGUAAAGCGCGUGUAGGCGGUCCUGUAAGUCCGCUGUGAAAGUCGGGGGCUCAACCCUCGGAUGCCGGUGGAUACUGUCGGGCUUGAGUACGGAAGAGGCGAGUGGAAUUCCUGGUGUAGCGGUGAAAUGCGCAGAUAUCAGGAGGAACACCAAUUGCGAAGGCAGCUCGCUGGGACGUUACUGACGCUGAGACGCGAAAGCGUGGGGAGCAAACAGG